GUCUACAGCCAUGCCACCUAGAACGCAUCCCAUCUCAUCUGAUCUUGGAAGCUAAGGAGGGUCGGGCCUGGUUAGUACUUGGAUGGGAGACCACUUAGAAAUACCAGGUGCUGUAGGCG
rnacentral:rRNA from 1 species